GCGAAGUUGCUCCAGUCCAGCAGGGGGCGGAAAGAGCGUCAUAUGUUGCUGCGUCUCUCGCGCAAAGCGCACGACGGAAGUAGAGUUUUCUUUCUGCUGCUGCGUGAAUAACGUAUUUCAGAUGUUGAGCAUGAAAGCGCAGGUGGAUGUGGUCUGCUGUAAAUCAGUAGGAACUGAUCUGUCCAUGCUGGAUAUUGAGGAUUUCAUCACAGAAAUCUGUCAGCUGAAGAAAGAGGUGGCUUCACUGGAGACAAAGCUGAGAGAAAGAGGAGACAAACUGAACAGAGAGGAUGUGGAGCAGGUUUCAGUGCGUGUGACUGAUGGGACAGAAGCUCAGGAUUCAGUCUGGAGCGUCAGAGAUCAGAGAUCCCAGAGACACACAGGACUCAGAGCUCAGCCUCACUUUACUCUGUUAUACUGACGCUCAGGAUCAUGAAUCCACUGAUCAAACCUCUGACUGUAACACUGGAGAACAGCAGAUGCUGCAGACGCCGCUGAAGAUGUGCUCCGUCAAACUGGUGGACUGCAGGAACCUGAUCGAGAGCAGAGGAGAAGAAACCACCGCAGAGAAAGAACUACAACACACUGAUGAGAAA